GUAAAAUGGCAGCAACCAUGUACUGGGUUUUGGUUUUGGCGCUAGCUGUCGUGGUAGCAGCCGCACCUUCUCCUGACUUUGUAUCACUAGUUUCAACCAAAGACAAGGCUUUUACCGAAGUGGAUCCAAAAAACAUACAUUUUGUGGCAGCUAAUGAAGAAGAACUUAGAGCUUUAUACAAGUUAAAUAUAGAACGUGAAUUAGGCUUAGCAUUGGAUAAUGCUAGAGAAAAAGCCGAAGAAAUAUGGUCGGGUCUUAAAAACAUGUUUGGCAAACCUUAUAUAUUACUUUAAGUUAUUGGCCUAUCAUAGCAUAUAAUAGCGUGAAGUAUAAUAUGAUCAUCUUAAAUAAAGCAUCUUUGAAUAACUUGUUAAAUUAACAUAGAAAUGAGUCUACCUUCUUUUAAAAUGUUAUAAUAUGGAAAAGUUUAGCUAAUAUAUAUUUUUACGCAUAUGAUUUCAUCUAGAGAAGCAGCAAAAGUAUAGUAUCUUUGAAGCAGGUUUGAAUUACAUUUCACAAAAUAACUACGGAAGAACUAACAUUUAUUACAUUAGGUUAAAAUGUUGAAUUAUUUGUUAUUUACAUGAUAUUGACAUUAUCAAGGUUGUUUUAAUUUAUUAAAUCAACUAUACAGUGUGUUUGAA